UUAGUAAGCGGAGGAAAAGAAACUAACAAGGAUUCCCCGAGUAACGGCGAGCGAAAGGGGAAGAGCCCAGCGCUGAAUCCCCCAGUCCUGCAGGGCUGGCGGGAAAUGUAGCGUAUAGGAGGGUCGCUUCUCCCGGGGUGCCGCGGCCAGUCCAAGUCCCUCUUGAACGGGGCCACGGUCCUUAGAAGGUGCCAGGCCUGUGGGAUGGUUGCGGCUUCCGGGAAGGCCUCUCCUUGGAGUCGGGUUGCUUGAGAGUGCAGCCCUAAGCAGGUGGUAAACUCCAUCUAAGGCUAAAUACAACCACGAGACCGAUAGCAAACAAGUACCGUGAGGGAAAGUUGAAAAGAACUUUGAAGAGAGAGUUCAAGAGUACGUGAAACCGUUCGGGGGUAAACGGGUGGAACCCUAAAGGUCGAAAGAGGAGAUUCAGUAUCCCGUCCGCGUUGCCUGCGCUGCGUCGUUGGGUAAAACUUGGGGUCGCCUUUCGGGGUGGCCCCGGGCCCUCGGCGCAGUAUCGCGCGCAAGCGGGGGAGCGCACUUCUCCUCGAGUAGGACGCCGCGACCCGUUGGGUGUCGGUCUAAGGCCCGGGUGCGAGCCCGUUCCGCGGCUUGCCGCGGGGCGGAGCCCCGGUGUCCCGGCCGACUGCCCGACGGUCGAACGUGCGGAACUGGCCCGCGGGCUUUUUUUGCUCGCGCCCGUGCCCCGUGCAAGCGUCCGGCCGAACCCGUUGCUACGGACUUGUCCGUCGCGGGCCGGUCGGCGCUGUUGGCGCGGGGAUUUCUCGGGCAGUGGCCUGCUCCUGUUCGCGGCGCUCAAAACUGGGCGGCCCACCCGGCCCGUCUUGAAACACGGACCAAGGAGUCUAACAUGUGCGCGAGUCAUUGGGUACCACUACACCCAAGGGCGCAUUGAACGAAAAGUUCGGCUCGCCCGAAUGAGGGAAGAUGGAGGUUCCGUUCGCGGGCCUCCCGCAUUCCCGGGGCGUCUCGUCCUACCUCCGCUUGUCGGUUGAAGGUGAGGCGCACCAAGAGCGCACACGUUGGGACCCGAAAGAUGGUGAACUAUGCCUGGCCAGGACGAAGUCAGGGGAAACCCUGAUGGAGGUCCGUAGCGAUUCUGACGUGCAAAUCGAUCGUCGGAGCUGGGUAUAGGGGCGAAAGACUAAUCGAACCAUCUAGUAGCUGGUUCCCUCCGAAGUUUCCCUCAGGAUAGCUGGCGCUCGUUGAACCGAGUCCCAUCCGGUAAAGCGAAUGAUUAGAGGCCUUGGGGUCGAAACGACCUCAACCUAUUCUCAAACUUUAAAUGGGUGGGAACCGCGGCUUGUUUGAACGUGAAGCCGCGGACCACGGAUCGGAGUGCCCAGUGGGCCACUUUUGGUAAGCAGAACUGGCGCUGUGGGAUGAACCAAACGCCGGGUUAAGGCGCCCGAAUCGACGCUCAUUCGAAACCAUGAAAGGUGUUGGUUGCUUAAGACAGCAGGACGGUGGCCAUGGAAGUCGGAAUCCGCUAAGGAGUGUGUAACAACUCACCUGCCGAAGCAACUAGCCCUGAAAAUGGAUGGCGCUGAAGCGUCGUGCCUAUACCCGGCCGCCGGUGGCAGAUGGCGGGCGCCUUCGGGUGCUCGCUGCGAAGCCCCGGUGAGUAGGAGGGUCGCGACGGUGAGCGCAGAAGGGUCUGGGCGUGAGCCUGCCUGGAGCCGCCGUCGGUGCAGAUCUUGGUGGUAGUAGCAAAUACUCCAGCGAGGCCCUGGAGGACUGAUGUGGAGAAGGGUUCCGUGUGAACAGCCGUUGCACACGGGUCAGUCGAUCCUAAGCCCUAGGAGAAAUCCGAUGUUGAUGGUCGCGGGAUGUUCCAGCCUUUCGGCGGGGGAAGAGCGUCGCAAACUGGGGGGAUCGGCAUGAGCGCCGUGAACCUUUUUUGCGUAAUUUCGCCCGUUCCCCCGAACCAACCGAGAGCGUAACUAGCUCCCCGUCCGUCGGGCGAAAGGGAAUCCGGUUCCUAUUCCGGAACCCGGUUGCGGAACCGCACUCACGAUCCUCGUAUUGACACGGUAACGUGAAAGACCCCAGAGAAGCCGUCUGGAGCCCCGGGAAGAGUUUUCUUUUCUGCCUGAGCGUUCGGGUUCCAUGGAAUCCUCUCGCAGGGAGAUAUGGAAUGGAACGCGAAGAGCACCGCAGUUGCUGCGGUGUCCGGGGAGUCCCGUCGGUCCUUGAAAAUCUGGGUGAGGGUCACGUGGAGGCGUCGCACCGGCUCGUACCCAUAUCCGCAGCAGGUCUCCAAGGUCAAGAGCCUCUAGUCGAUAGAC
rnacentral:rRNA from 1 species